rnacentral:rRNA from 1 species
GAUGAACGCUAGCUACAGGCUUAACACAUGCAAGUCGAGGGGUAACGAGAGGAAAGCUUGCUUUCCUUGUCGACGACCGGCGCACGGGUGAGUAACGCGUAUCCAACCUGCCCCCAACUAAGGAAUAACCUUGCGAAAGUAAGACUAAUACCUUAUAAUUUCCUCAGAUGUCAUCUGACGAGGAAUAAAGAUUUAUCGGUUGUGGAUGGGGAUGCGUCUGAUUAGCUUGUUGGCGGGGUAACGGCCCACCAAGGCAACGAGCAGUAGGGGUUCUGAGAGGAAGGUCCCCCACAGUGGAACUGAGACACGGUCCAAACUCCUACGGGAGGCAGCAGUGAGGAAUAUUGGUUAAUGGGCGGAAGCCUGAACCAGCCAAGUAGCGUGCAGGAUGACGGCCCUAUGGGUUGUAAACUGCUUUUAUACAGGAAUAAAGUUAGCCACGUGUGGUUAUUUGUAGGUACUGUAUGAAUAAGGACCGGCUAAUUCCGUGCCAGCAGCCGCCGUAA